GGAGCAUGUGGUUUAAUUCAAUGCAAAGCGAAGAACCUUACCAGGGCUUGACAUGCCACGAAUCCUCUUGAAAGAGAGGGGUGCCCUCAGGAACACGGACACAGUGGUGCAUGGCUGUCGUCAGUUCGUGCCGUAAGGUGUUGGGUUAAGUCUCGCAACGAGCACAACCCUCGUGUUUAGUUGCCACUAUGAGUUUGGAACCCUGAACAGACCACCGGUGUUAAGCCAGAGGAAGGAGAGGAUGAGGCCAAGUCAUCAUGCCCCUUAUGCCUUGGGCGACACACAUGCUACAAUGGGUGGGACAAAGGGUCGCGAUCUUGCGAGGGUGAGCUAACUCCAAAAACCGUCCUCAGAAAAAAUGAAAUUGGCUGAUAUCAUGA
rnacentral:rRNA from 1 species